UCAAGAAACUUCCACAAUGGGCGAAAGCCUGAUGGAGCGACGUCGCGUGAUGGACGAAGUGCUUCGGCACGUAAACAUCUUUUUAUGUGGGAUGAAAUUAUUGACAGUACCACAUGAAUAAGGGGCUCCUAACUCUGUGCCAGCAGGAGCGGUAAUACAGAGGCCCCAAGCGUUAUCCGGAAUCACUGGGCGUAAAGGGUGUCGAGGCGGUUGUAUUAGUCGUUCGUAAAAUCUACGAGCUUAACUUGUAGGCGGCGAACGAAACGGUACGACUUGAGGUUUGGAGAGGUGCGUGGAACUCACGGUGUAGGGGUGAAAUCCGUUGAUAUCGUGGGGAACACCAAAGGCGAAGGCAGCGCACUGGCCAAAAUCUGACGCUCACACACGAAAGCUAGGGUAGCGAAGAGGAUUAGAUACCCUGGUAGUCCCUGAGCGGGCUGGCAAGGCGCAU
rnacentral:rRNA from 1 species